rnacentral:rRNA from 1 species
GGCGAGGGGAGUGAAAAAGAACCUGAAACCGUGUACGUACAAGCAGUGGGAGCACCCUGUGUGACUGCGUACCUUUUGUAUAAUGGGUCAGCGACUUAUAUUCUGUAGCAAGGUUAACCGAAUAGGGGAGCCGGAGGGAAACCGAGUCUUAACUGGGCGUUAAGUUGCAGGGUAUAGACCCGAAACCCGGUGAUCUAGCCAUGGGCAGGUUGAAGGUUGGGUAACACUAACUGGAGGACCGAACCGACUAAUGUUGAAAAA